AGGGGUAUAGCCAAGCGGUAAGGCAACGGACUUUGACUCCGUCAUUCGCAGGUUCGAGUCCCGCUACCCCUGCCA
rnacentral:tRNA from 1 species